rnacentral:rRNA from 1 species
UACGUAGGUGCGAGCGUUGUCCGGAUUUAUUGGCGUAAAGAGCUCGUAGGCGGUUUGUCGCGUCGGCCGUGAAAUCUCCACGCUUAACGUGGAGCGUGCGGUCGAUACGGGCAGACUUGAGUUCGGUAGGGGAGACUGGAAUUCCGUGGUGUAGCGGUGAAAUGCGCAGAUAUCAGGAGGAACACCGGUGGCGAAGGCGGGUCUCUGGGCCGGUAACUGACGCUGAGGAGCGAAAGCUGGGGAGCGAACAGGAUUAGAA